rnacentral:rRNA from 1 species
UACGUAGGGUGCAAGCGUUAAUCGGAAUUACUGGGCGUAAAGCGUGCGCAGGCGGUUUUGUAAGCCAGAUGUGAAAUCCCCGGGCUUAACCUGGGAAUGGCAUUUGGGACUGCAAGGCUGGAGUGCGGCAGAGGAGACUGGAACUCCUGGUGUAGCAGUGAAAUGCGUAGAUAUCAGGAGGAACACCGAUGGCGAAGGCAGGUCUCUGGGCUGACACUGACGCUCAUGCACGAAAGCGUGGGGAGCAAACAGG